GGCUUAUAAUUGAAGUCUAGUAUGAAUGGGAACUCGGGGAUAUUCUGUCCUUUAUUUACGAUUAGAAAUUACUAAUUAAGUGAAAAUUCUUAAACCUUUAGAAAAAAGACGAGAAGACCCUAGAAAUUUUUUAAUAUAUAUUUUGUUGGGGCGACAAGGUAACAUAAAACUUACCUAUACAAUAGGAAAUUUUUUAGUUGGGUAAAUAAAUUACUCUAGGGAUAACAGCAUAAUAUUUUAAAGUUUGUGACCUCGAUGUUGGACUAGGA
rnacentral:rRNA from 1 species